AUUGAACGCUGGCGGCAGGCCUAACACAUGCAAGUCGAACGGUAGCACAGAGAGCUUGCUCUCGGGUGACGAGUGGCGGACGGGUGAGUAACGUCUGGGAAACUGCCCGAUGGAGGGGGAUAACUACUGGAAACGGUAGCUAAUACCGCAUAACGUCGCAAGACCAAAGUGGGGGACCUUCGGGCCUCACACCAUCGGAUGUGCCCAGAUGGGAUUAGCUAGUAGGUGGGGUAAUGGCUCACCUAAGCGACGAUCCCUAGCUGGUCUGAGAGGAUAGACAGCCACACUGGAACUGAGACACGGUCCAGACUCCUACGGGAGGCAGCAGUGGGGAAUAUUGCACAAUGGGCGCAAGCCUGAUGCAGCCAUGCCGCGUGUAUGAAGAAGGCCUUCGGGUUGUAAAGUACUUUCAGCGGGGAGGAAGGCGGUGAAGUUAAUAGCUUCACCGAUUGACGUUACCCGCAGAAGAAGCACCGGCUAACUCCGUGCCAGCCGCCGCGGUAA
rnacentral:rRNA from 1 species